rnacentral:tRNA from 1 species
GCGGAAAUAGCUCAGUUGGUAGAGCACAACCUUGCCAAGGUUGGGGUCGCGAGUUCGAGCCUCGUUUCCCGCUCCA